rnacentral:rRNA from 1 species
AUAGCCCUACGGGGCGCAGCAGUGAGGAAUAUUGGUCAAUGGCCGAGAGGCUGAACCAGCCAAGUCGCGUGAGGGAAGACGGCCCUACGGGUUGUAAACCUCUUUUGUCGGGGAGCAAAGCGAGUCACGUGUGACUCAUUGAGAGUACCCGAAGAAAAAGCAUCGGCUAACUCCGUGCCAGCAGCCGCGGUAAUACGGAGGAUGCGAGCGUUAUCCGGAUUUAUUGGGUUUAAAGGGUGCGUAGGCGGACGCUUAAGUCAGCGGUAAAAUUGCGGGGCUCAACCUCGUCGAGCCGUUGAAACUGG